rnacentral:lncRNA from 1 species
CCACCGAUAAGAUGCUUUUUGUGACGAAAUAUUACGUCAUUGUAUUUCACAUCACAAAAGAUAUAUUUGACUUUUGUGUUACUACCCAUAGGAGUUUCAUAGCCCCAAGUCGGAUCCCUUUUUUGUGACAUUUUGAAUAAGAAAAUACAACUUUACUAGUUACUACAAGAAAAAAAAAGUGUAACUUAGUAACAAAACAACAAAUAAACUAAGUAAAAAAAUAAAAACGGUUAAGAGCAGCAACUAGUAUACGCCAUACACAUCACACUGUAUAGAAAUUAAAAAAAAACAGAGCAGCAAUAGAAUUGAAAAAAACAGAGCAACAAUAGAAAUUGAAAAACAAAGCAACAAUAGAAAUUGAAAAAAAUGGAGCAGCAAUAAAAAUAUAGAAAAAAACACAGCAACAACCAGAAAUAGAAAAAAAAAUAGUCGCAGAUACAACAACCAAAGAGAAGAAGAGAACUUACAGCAGCCACAGC